AAAAACAGCAUUCUUCUCCUUUCCUUUCAUGCCUCCCUUCUUCUUUUGUUGUCCAAUAUUAAAUAUUAGUUGUUUCCUUUCUUACUUACUUUUUCUACUUGUUAGCUAGGUUUGUAAUAUAAAUAUUUUGCUGAAUCCUGUAUCCUCUAAAUAAAAUAGAGGUAAGCUUGUUUAAUCCUAGAGAAAUAUUUACACUGCUGAAAUAAUUUCUCAGGAUAGUGCCCAACACGACUCAAGGUAAUUCGUGUAUCUACUUACAAAGAAUAUUGAAAUGAUGUUAUUGAAAUUCUUGCUCUCAAUUACUACAGUUUUCACCUAUGAAAUUUAAAACUUCAUGACAGUGACUACUAAUAACUCUUCUUUUUUUAAAAAAGGAAAAAGUUAUGAGUAUUGUUCGGUCUACCAAUAAUGUGAAUAUUCUUUGAUUUUCCCAUCUCAACUCUUGGGUGGUCUAUAAGUUGUUUAUAUUGAUAUAAAGUAUUCACAAAAUCUGACGAACGUCAAAACUUAUAUGUAUGAAAAUUUUACCAACACAUUUUCUGUUUUAAAUUUAAUCCAACUUAGUCCAAAUUAACUCCAAAUGACUUCAAACUUUGAUAUUCAACCUUCUAAUGCCAAUAUAACAAUUUCCAAUGGUUAAAUUAAACCAAAACUUUCAAAGAUCAGUAGACUAUCUUUGUCUUCUUCAGCAAAUGUUUUUCAAGCUCAAUAAAAUCCAACAACGUGUUCGUCAAUUUUCUUCAACCAAGCCAUUCUAAAUCAUUAGGGAGAAACAAUAUAAGCUUAAUAAAAACAUUACCACUCAAUUCUAACCACAAAUAAGCUAUGGAUUUUCAACUUUCUUUAUAAGUAAAAUCCAACUUUUAUUAAUUGAUUUAUAAAUAGCUUGGUCUUGAAGGAACAUAUACAGCUGUGAUUGCUGAUUAUGUUAUUUCUUCGGAAAUUGAUCUUAAUAUAUGCAUAAAAUUUCCUCUUAUGUUGGCAAAUUUUAAUUACAAAUCCUACAAUUUGCUGAAUUACAUGAUAUAUUUGCCUGGAGCUGGCCUGCAAUAAAACACUUUCUGCCUUAUUUUGCCUUGAGUCUACAAGGAGGGGAGUUAGUAUGCAUGUCGAUUAGAUCUACUUAUGAUAAGAAGAAAUAAAACUCUUAAUUACUACAUACUAUGUGAACGAUUUGCAACUUUUUGAAGAGUUUAUUAACCGCUGGUCCGCUGCUUCUACCGUAAUUUUCUUUGAACCGUUCCAAAUAGCUUGACACUCAAAUUGUUACCCUUAAUACUAUAUCCGGUGAAAAUCGAGCUUGCCUAAGUUUGUAUGACUAACCGAAAUUGGGGUGACAGAUUAAGGCUCGAGCUCGGUUAUAUCGGACCAUGGUACGGAGAUGGAUUGGUAAGCUCGUGAAACAAUGGCCGAUCAAGAUCAAGAUCUGCCAUGAUCGAGACCGAAGCGAGAAAGAGAUUGAGCGAGAUUGAAGGAAGCUUGCUAGGUCGAAUAAUAGAAAGCCGAGAUAUCCGUGAUCGGGCAAGGACCGUGGCGGAAAUCUCGGCACAUAUCAAGUCAAGACCGGACAUUUAUCCAAUCAUGGGAUUUCCUUCUGUAAUAUGAAUUAUACCAUAAAUAAGAUUCCUCUACUAUAUAAAGAGGCUUCUAAUCAUUUUGUAAUCAUCAUACAUUCGCGCAUAAUCAAGAAAUAUACUACAUUUUCUC
rnacentral:lncRNA from 1 species